rnacentral:misc_RNA from 1 species
GAUGAAGAACGCAGCGAAAUGCGAUACGUAAUGUGAAUUGCAGAAUUCAGUGAAUCAUCGAAUCUUUGAACGCAUAUUGCGCUCUCUGGUAUUCCGGAGAGCAUGCUUGUUUGAGUAUCAGUAAACACCUCAACUUCCAUAUCUUUUUUUGAAAUGGGAGUUGGACUUGAGUGAUCCCAACGCUUUUCCUCACCGAAAAGUGGCGGGUUACUUGAAAUGCAGGUGCAGCUGGACUUUUCUCUGAGCUAUAAGCAUAUCUAUUUAGUCUGCCUAAAAAACAGAUUAUUACCUUUGCUGCAGCUAACAUAAAGGAGAUUAGUUCUUGUGCUGACUGAUGCAGGAUUCACAAAGACAGCUUCGGCCGACUUUGUAAACUCGAUCUCAACUCAAGUAAGACUACCCGCUGAACUUAAGCAUAUCAAUAAGCGGAGGA